AUUGAACGCUGGCGGCAGGCCUAACACCUGCGAGUCGAGCGAGCGGCGGACGGGUGAGUAAUGUAUGGGGAUCUGCCCGAUAGUGGGGGAUAACUACUGGAAACGGUGGCUAAUACCGCAUACUAUCGGUUGAUGCCAUAUGGGAUUAGCUAGUAGGUGGGGUAAAGGCUCACCUAGGCAACGAUCUCUAGCUGGUCUGAGAGGAUGAUCAGCCACACUGGGACGUAGACACGGCCCAGACUCCUACGGGAGGCAGCAGUGGGGAAUAUUGCACAAUGGGCGCAAGCCUGAUGCAGCCAUGCCGCGUGUAUGAAGAAGGCCUUCGGGUUGUAAAGUACUUUCAUCGAGGAGGCGUUACUCGCAGAAGAAGCGCCGGCUAACUCCGUGCCAGCAGCCGCGGUAAUAC
rnacentral:rRNA from 1 species